UACGUAGGGUCCGAGCGUUAAUCGGAAUUACUGGGCGUAAAGCGUGCGCAGGCGGUUUUGUAAGCCAGAUGUGAAAGCCCCGGGCUCAACCUGGGAACUGCAUUUGGGACUGCAAGGCUGGAGUACGGCAGAGGGAGGUGGAAUUCCACGUGUAGCAGUGAAAUGCGUAGAUAUCAAGAGGAACACCUGAGGUGAAGACGGGUUGCUGGGCCGACACUGACGCUGAGUGCGCGAAAGCCAGGGGAGCAAACGGG
rnacentral:rRNA from 1 species